AAGAGGCCCUGGGCCGAGGUGCAGUGACUCUGCAGGCCAGCCCUCCAACCUCCUCUCACAGUGGGGGCUGGGUGACCCUCUGCCAGCUGAGACAGCCCACACACACCCCAGCCCUAAUGAUUGUUCUCUCUACCUCUCCCCACAAUCCUCUUCCAACUCCUCCUCUCUGCAUGUGCCUCAGAGCCAGUACCAAGAACUAGCAGUAGCCCUGGAGUCAAGCUCCGUGACAAUCAAUCAACUCAAUGAAAACAUAGAAUCAUUGAAACAGCAGAAGAAACAAGUGGAACAUCAGCUGGAAGAAAUAACGUGAUUUUCUUUGCUUACAACAUGACUGCUGGGUUUGGGGGGCACUCAGAUGCAGAGGUGCCAGUCUCAUCUUGCCCACUCCCAGCCUGGGGAAGAAGGCUCACCCCUCAGAUUCCACCCCAUCCCCACGGGGUCCCUGAUAACCUGGUUCCAUGGGUGGGCCUGUCCUGGGACAUUGGUGGCAUUCUGGGGGCGUGCCUCCUGCUGUGCCAUCUCGGCCUCCCUGUGGCAAGAGCUCUGUCUUCCUCUUCCUAUAGGCAAAGAAAGCAAACAAUGAAAUACACAAAGCACAAACAGAGCAGUUAGAGUUCAAUUCCAGACAAUCAACAUCCUCACAUUGGAAAAGGCAGACUUGAAGACCACCCUUUACCAUACUAAACGUGCUGCCCGACACUUCGAAGAAGAGUCCAAGGAUCUGGCUGGCCGCCUGCAAUACGCCUUGCAGCGUAUUCAAGAAUUGGAGCGGGCUCUCUGUGCUGUGUCUACACAGCAGCAGGAAGAGGACAGGUCCUCGAGCUGCAGAGAAGCGGUCCUCCAGUGGCGGUUACAGCAGACCAUAAAGGAGCAGGCACUGCUGAACGCACACGUGACACAGGUGACAGAGUCACUAAAACAAGUCCAGCUAGAGCAGGACGAAUAUGCUAAACACAUAAAAGGAGAGAGGGCCCGGUGGCAGGAGAGGAUGUGGAAAAUGUCGGUGGAGGCUCGAACAUUAAAGGAAGAGAAGAAGCGUGACAUACAUCGGAUACAGGAGCUGAAGAGGAGCUUGUCCGAACUCAAAAACCAGAUGGGUAAGAUGGGGCUGGUGUGACCUGGGAGCAGGACUGGCAUCAGAGGUCUGUGGG
rnacentral:lncRNA from 1 species